UAGAGUUUGAUCCUGGCUCAGAUUGAACGCUGGCGGCAGGCCUAACACAUGCAAGUCGAGCGGUAGCGGGAAGAGCUUGCUCUUUGCCGACGAGCGGCGGACGGGUGCGUAACACGUAGGAAUCUGCCCGGUAGUGGGGGAUAGCCCGGAGAAAUCCGGAUUAAUACCGCAUACGCCCUAAGGGGGAAAGCAGGGGAUCUUCGGACCUUGCGCUAUCGGAUGAGCCUGCGUCGGAUUAGCUUGUUGGUGGGGUAAAGGCCUACCAAGGCGACGAUCCGUAGCUGGUCUGAGAGGAUGAUCAGCCACACUGGGACUGAGACACGGCCCAGACUCCUACGGGAGG
rnacentral:rRNA from 1 species